GAGUUUGAUCGUGGCUCAGAUUGAACGCUGGCGGCAUGCCUAACACAUGCAAGUCGAACGGAAGCAGGACGCUGGGAUCUCUUCGGAGUGAACUUGUCGCUGUCGAGUGGCGGACGGGUGAGUAAUGCAUAGGAAAUUGCCUUGAAGUGGGGGGAUAGCCCGGAGAAAUCCGGAUUAAUACCGCAUGCGCUCUACGGAGCAAAGCAGGCCUCUGAUUUAAGCUUGCGCUUUGAGAUAUGCCUAUGUCGGAUUAGCUAGUUGGUAGGGUAAAAGCCUACCAAGGCGACGAUCCGUAGCUGGUUUGAGAGGAUGAUCAGCCACACUGGGACUGAGAUACGGCCCAGACUCCUACGGGAGGCAGCAGUGGGGAAUAUUGGACAAUGGGCGCAAGCCUGAUCCAGCAAUGCCGCGUGUGUGAAGAAGGCCUGCGGGUUGUAAAGCACUUUUAUCGGG
rnacentral:rRNA from 1 species